ACCAAUUUCUGUGAGUAGGACCUGCAAAAUAGGAAUUUUAGCCUAAACCAUGUAGUAGGUAAAGCAAUGAACAUAAUAUAGAAAAUAAAUCAUGAUAUUGAAAGCCAUUCUCCUCUAUCUUAUAUAAUUGAACAUUAACGGGGCAUAGAUGCACAGUAUCAAGCCAAUGAAGAAAAAAAGAAUAAUUAUUAUUAUUAUUUUU
rnacentral:misc_RNA from 1 species